GAUGAACGCUGGCGGCGUGCCUAAUACAUGCAAGUCGAGCGAACAGACGAGGAGCUUGCUCCUCUGACGUUAGCGGCGGACGGGUGAGUAACACGUGUAUAACCUACCUAUAAGACUGGGAUAACUUCGGGAAACCGGAGCUAAUACCGGAUAAUAUAUUGAACCGCAUGGUUCAAUAGUGAAAGACGGUUUUGCUGUCACUUCUAGAUGGAUCCGCGCCGCAUUAGCUAGUUGGUAAGGUAACGGCUUACCAAGGCAACGAUGCGUAGCCGACCUGAGAGGGUGAUCGGACACACUGGAACUGAGACACGGACCAGACUCCUACGGGAGGCAGCAGUAGGGAAUCUUCCGCAAUGGGCGAAAGCCUGACGGAGCAACGCCGCGUGAGUGAUGAAGGUCUUCGGAUCGUAAAACUCUGUUAUUAGGGAAGAACAAAUGUGUAAGUAACUAUGCACGUCUUGACGGUACCUAAUCAGAAAGCAACGGCUAACUACGUG
rnacentral:rRNA from 1 species